UGGUUUAAGGCAGGCCACGCCUGGAUACCUUUACCUGGAAAAAUGGAAUUAGGAGUUUGAUCCUAUUUUGUUGGUUUCUAGGAUCGACGUAAUGAUUAAUAGGGAUAGUUGGGGGCAUUAGUAUUCAAUUGUCAGAGGUGAAAUUCUUGGAUUUAUUGAAGACUAACUACUGCGAAAGCAUUUGCCAAGGAUGUUUUCAUUAAUCAAGAACGAAAGUUAGGGGAUCGAAGACGAUCAGAUACCGUCGUAGUCUUAACCAUAAACUAUGCCGACUAGGGAUCGGAUGAUGUUAUUUUUUUAGAGACUCUCUC
rnacentral:rRNA from 1 species